rnacentral:rRNA from 1 species
GCGAUACAGGGUGACAGCCCCGUACACAAAAAUGCACAUAUUGUGAGCUCGAUGAGUAGGGCGGGACACGUGGUAUCCUGUCUGAAUAUGGGGGGACCAUCCUCCAAGGCUAAAUACUCCUGACUGACCGAUAGUGAACCAGUACCGUGAGGGAAAGGCGAAAAGAACCCCGGCGAGGGGAGUGAAAAAGAACCUGAAACCGUGUACGUACAAGCAGUGGGAGCCUCUUAAUGGGGUGACUGCGUACCUUUUGUAUAAUGGGUCAGCGACUUAUAUUCUGUAGCAAGGUUAACCGAAUAGGGGAGCCGAAGGGAAACCGAGUCUUAACUGGGCGUUAAGUUGCAGGGUAUAGACCCGAAACCCGGUGAUCUAGCCAUGGGCAGGUUGAAGGUUGGGUAACACUAACUGGAGGACCGAACCGACUAAUGUUGAAAAAUUAGCGGAUGACUUGUGGCUGGGGGUGAAAGGCCAAUCAAACCGGGAGAUAGCUGGUUCUCCCCGAAAGCUAUUUAGGUAGCGCCUCGUGAAUUCAUCUCCGGGGGUAGAGCACUGUUUCGGCAAGGGGGUCAUCCCGACUUACCAACCCGAUGCAAACUGCGAAUACCGGAGAAUGUUAUCACGGGAGACACACGGCGGGUGCUAACGUCCGUCGUGAAGAGGGAAACAACCCAGACCGCCAGCUAAGGUCCCAAAGUCAUGGUUAAGUGGGAAACGAUGUGGGAAGGCCCAGACAGCCAGGAUGUUGGCUUAGAAGCAGCCAUCAUUUAAAGAAAGCGUAAUAGCUCACUGGUCGAGUCGGCCUGCGCGGAAGAUGUAACGGGGCUAAACCAUGCACCGAAGCUGCGGCAGCGACGCUUAUGCGUUGUUGGGUAGGGGAGCGUUCUGUAAGCCUGUGAAGGUGUGCUGUGAGGCAUGCUGGAGGUAUCAGAAGUGCGAAUGCUGACAUAAGUAACGAUAAAGCGGGUGAAAAGCCCGCUCGCCGGAAGACCAAGGGUUCCUGUCCAACGUUAAUCGGGGCAGGGUGAGUCGACCCCUAAGGCGAGGCCGAAAGGCGUAGUCGAUGGGAAACAGGUUAAUAUUCCUGUACUUGGUGUUACUGCGAAGGGGGGACGGAGAAGGCUAUGUUGGCCGGGCGACGGUUGUCCCGGUU